UACGUAGGGUGCGAGCGUUAAUCGGAAUUACUGGGCGUAAAGCGUGCGCAGGCGGCCCGUUAAGACAGGUGUGAAAUCCCUGGGCUCAACCUAGGAAAUGCGCUUGUGACUGGCGGGCUCGAGUACGGUAGAGGGGGGUGGAAUUCCUGGUGUAGCAGUGAAAUGCGUAGAGAUCAGGAGGAACACCGAUGGCGAAGGCAGCCCCCUGGGCCUGUACUGACGCUCAUGCACGAAAGCGUGGGGAGCAAACAGG
rnacentral:rRNA from 1 species